rnacentral:rRNA from 2 species
UAAACGACUCUCGGCAACGGAUAUCUCGGCUCUCGCAUCGAUGAAGAACGUAGCGAAAUGCGAUACUUGGUGUGAAUUGCAGAAUCCCGCGAACCAUCGAGUCUUUGAACGCAAGUUGCGCCCGAAGCCAUUAGGUUGAGGGCACGCCUGCCUGGGCGUCUCACG